GCACAUUCAGCACUUUAGGCGCAAACUUAAAAGCGAACUAGUAAUGUAAAGUAAAUUAACUAGCCCUCAUACUCCUCUAACUUCCUUUCAUCAUUGCUCUCUGUCUCUUGUUCUCUCUCCCCUGCAGCAAGCACGUUCCUUCUCAUCAGUCAGGACUCCAGUGGAGAUUUGUGAGGGUAUGAGAGUAUAAACACAUCCUCGUCCUGCUCUUGAACACUUCCAGACUGGCCCUCACACAGCUCUGACUGACUACAAAAUGAGAGAGAGAGAGAGACCGUGUGAAGAAGAAGAAGAAGAAUAUCCUGAGUCAGUGGGGAAAGGGAUGUUGGCUGCAAAGUAAAGUCAUUUAAAACCCACCCAGAUGCCUCCAGGUGGAAAGCGCAGCUAGCGUCAGCACUAGAGAGGUUCACGGAGGGUCUCCGUCACUGCUGCUUGCUCGGUGUGCCCCGGUGGACAGAUGUGGAUGGGGAGAGGGUAACGGAUGAGGUAUGGUCUUGGCUUGUCACCAGGGCAAUGUGUAAGGCUGGCCGGCCAGUCGGCUCGCAGCUUGCGCCUGCAUUCCCCUUCGCUUAAUUAGGGGUUGUUGGUACCACAGAAGGUGUCACCAACCUUUUCAGUCCAAUAACAGAUGGUGUUCUUUUUUUGAGGUCCUGCCAAAGCCCACUGUCCCGCUCCUGGGAAAAUGACCUAACUCGUAGGCAGCUGCUUAGUGCGGCUUGAGUGCCUCUUAAAAGAGACUUCUAUCAGGGAAUUAGCAGGACAUACCACUGCAGCCCGAGGGGUGUGAGUUUGAGAUGAGUCCACCUUUAAUCGCCCUCUCUAAGCUGUUCUGAGGGCCGAGCUCGUCGUUCACAUUGAAAUCCAAAGUGACACUAUGGACGGGUGG
ensembl:lncRNA